CAGCCGCCGCGGUAAUACGAAGGGGGCUAGCGUUGCUCGGAAUUAUUGGGUUUAAAGGGUGCGUAGGCGGAUAGAUAAGUCAGUGGUGAAAGACGGUGGCUCAACCAUCGCAGUGCCGUUGAUACUGUUUAUCUUGAAUAUGGAUGAGGUAGGCGGAAUGUGGCAAGUAGCGGUGAAAUGCAUAGAUAUGCCACAGAACACCGAUUGCGAAGGCAGCUUACCAAGGCAAAAUUGACGCUGAGGCACGAAAACGUGGGGAUCGAACAGGAUUAGAUACCCGUGUAGUCCCUGUCUCUUAUAC
rnacentral:rRNA from 1 species